rnacentral:sRNA from 1 species
CACCGCCUGGGGAGUACGACCGCAAGGUUAAAACUCAAAUGAAUUGACGGGGACCCGCACAAGUAGUGGAGCAUGUGGUUUAAUUCGAAGAUACGCGCAGAACCUUACCAACACUUGACAUGUUCGUCGCGGCUCUAAGAGAUUAGAGCUUUCGGUUCGGCCGGACGAAACACAGGUGCUGCAUGGCUGUCGUCAGCUCGUGUCGUGAGAUGUUGGGUUAAGUCCCGCAACGAGCGCAACCCUCACUUUUAGUUGCCAUCAUUUAGUUGGGCACUCUGAAAGAACUGCCAGUGAUAAGCUGGAGGAAGGUGGGGAUGACGUCAAGUCCUCAUGGCCCUUACGUGUUGGGCUACACACGUGCUACAAUGGCAUUUACAAUAGGAAGCAAGAUGGCGACGUCAAGCAAAUCCUAAAAAGAUGCCUCAGUUCGGAUUGUACUCUGCAACUCGAGUACAUGAAGCUGGAAUUACUAGUAAUCGCGGAUCAGCGCGCCACGGUGAAUACGUUCCCGGGUCUUGUACACACCGCCCGUCACACCAUGGGAGUUGGUUCUACCUUAAGGCAAGGUUUUAAACCCUUGACCACGGUAUAGUCAGCGACUGGGGUGAAGUCGUAACAAGGUAGCCGUAGGGGAACCUGCGGCUGGAUUACCUCCUUUCUACGGAUGAAUAAGAAUUCGUUUAAUUCUAAAUAAUAUAACAGGUUAAUGUUGACCGUCCUCAUUUCUUGUCUUCAAUUAGUGUUUCUCUUUUUCUACGUAGGGCCGGUAGCUCAGUAGGUUAGAGCACACCCCGAUAAGGGCCGGGUCGAAAGUUCGAGUCUUUCUCGGCCCACCAAUAUUAUUCGGGGGAUUAAUCAAGGGGAGAGCGCCUAGUUCGCAUUCAGGAGGUCACCGGUUCGAUCCCGGUAUCCUCCACCAUGAAACACUUCCCUACUUCCCUUGCGAAAAAAUUUUUAUAUUCUCAAUAUCUAUAUCCGAUUGUUCUAAUUAAUGAAUAAUCAAAAAAAUAUUUGAAUAGAUGAAUAUUCUAAAAAAAUUUGAUUCAACACAGAAUUUUUUUCUG